CCUACGGGUGGCAGCAGUGAGGAAUAUUGGUCAAUGGUCGCGAGCCUGAACCAGCCAAGUAGCGUGAGGGAUGAAGGUCCUGUGGAUCGUAAACCUCUUUUAUAUGGGAAUAAAGUGCGGGACGUAUACUGCUUUGCAUGUACCUUAUGAAUAAGGAUCGGCUAACUCCGUGCCAGCAGCCGCGGUAAUACGGAGGAUCCGAGCGUUAUCCGGAUUUAUUGGGUUUAAAGGGAGGGUAGGCGGGUUGUUAAGUCAGUUGUGAAAGUCUGGGGCGCAACCGUAGAAUUGCAGUUGAUACUGGCAUGCUUGAGUAUGUGAGAGGUAGGCGGAAUGCGUGGUGUAGCGGUGAAAUGCUUAGAUAUCACGCAGAACUCCGAUUGCGAAGGCAGCAUGCUGGACUCUCACUGACGCUGAUGCACGAAAGUGUGGGUAUCAAACAGGAUUAGAUACCCUAGUAGUC
rnacentral:rRNA from 1 species